AUUUUGUUUAGCAUAAAAGACUCUGAAUGGUUGGGAAGUUCCGGUUAUAGCUUGUGCUGGCGAGACGAAAUGACUUUAAAAGAGUCUGAUGAAGAAAGAAGCAGACGGAACAGAACAACUAAAAAAAGGGAUGACAAUUUUUUUCGGAGUUGGGGGUGCU
rnacentral:sRNA from 1 species